rnacentral:rRNA from 1 species
UACGGAGGGGGCAAGCGUUGUUCGGAAUUACUGGGCGUAAAGAGCUCGUAGGUGGUUUGUCGCGUUGUCCGUGAAAACUCACAGCUUAACUGUGGGCGUGCGGGCGAUACGGGCAGACUGGAGUACUGCAGGGGAGACUGGAAUUCCUGGUGUAGCGGUGGAAUGCGCAGAUAUCAGGAGGAACACCGGUGGCGAAGGCGGGUCUCUGGGCAGUAACUGACGCUGAGGAGCGAAAGCGUGGGGAGCGAACAGG